UACCUGCAGCUCAAGUGGUGAUCAUUAUUAUUGGGCCUAAAACGUCCGUAGCCGGUUUAGUAAAUGCCUGGGUAAAUCGUGUAGCUUAACUAUACGACUUCCGGGUAGACUGCUAAGCUUGAGAUCGGGAGAGGCUAGAGGUACUCCUGGGGUAGAGGUGAAAUUCUGUAAUCCUGGGGGGUACCACCAGUGGCGAAGGCGUCUAGCUAGAACGAGUCUGACGGUGAGGGACGAAGCCCUGGGGCGCGAACCGGAUUAGAUACCCGGGUAGUCCAGGGUGUAAACGCUGCUUGCUUGAUGUUAGUCGGGCUCCGAGCCCGAUUAGUGUCGGAGAGAAGUUGUUAAGCAAGCUGCCUGGGAAGUACGGUCGCAAGACUGAAACUUAAAGGAAUUGGCGGGGGGUAGCACAGCAACAGGUGGAGCGUGCGGUUUAAUUGGAUUCAACGCCGGAAAACUCACCGGAGGCGACGGUUAUAUGAAAGUCAGGCUGAUGACCUUACUCGAUUUUCCGAGAGGUGGUGCAUGGCCGCCGUCAGUUCGUACCGUAAGGCGUUCUGUUAAGUCAGACAACGAACGAGACCCUUAUUUUUAAUUGCUACUGGUAAGUUCGCUUAUCAGGCACAUUAGAGAGACCGCUGGCGAUAAGUCAGAGGAAGGCGAGGGCAACGGUAGGUCAGUAUGCCCUGAAUCCUCCGGGCUACACGCGCGCUACAAAGGCCAGGACAAUGGGCACCUACCCUGAAAAGGGGACGGUAAUCUCCUAAACCCAACCGUAGUUCGAUUGAGGGCUGUAACUCGCCCUCAUGAAGCUGGAAUCCGUAGUAAUCGCGUUUUCAACAUAGCGCGGUGAAUACGUCCUGCUCCUUGCACACACCGCCCGUCAAGGCUUGAGUCG
rnacentral:rRNA from 1 species